rnacentral:rRNA from 1 species
ACCCUCGGGAGGGGGAUAACCCCGGGAAACUGGGGCUAAUCCCCCAUAGGCCUGGGGUACUGGAAGGUCCCCAGGCCGAAAGGGGCUCUGCCCGCCCGAGGAUGGGCCGGCGGCCGAUUAGGUAGUUGGUGGGGUAACGGCCCACCAAGCCGAAGAUCGGUACGGGCCAUGAGAGUGGGAGCCUGGAGAUGGACACUGAGACACGGGUCCAGGCCCUACGGGGCGCAGCAGGCGCGAAACCUCCGCAAUGCGGGCAACCGCGACGGGNGGACCCCCAGUGCCGUGGCAACGCCACGGCUUUUCCGGAGUGUAAAAAGCUCCGGGAAUAAGGGCUGGGCAAGGCCGGUGGCAGCCGCCGCGGUAAUACCGGCGGCCCAAGUGGUGGCCGCUAUUAUUGGGCCUAAAGCGUCCGUAGCCGGGCCCGUAAGUCCCUGGCGAAAUCCCACGGCUCAACCGUGGGGCUUGCUGGGGAUACUGCGGGCCUUGGGACCGGGAGAGGCGGGGGGUACCCCUGGGGUAGGGGUGAAAUCCUAUAAUCCCA